rnacentral:rRNA from 1 species
GAUGAACGCUGGCGGCGUGCCUAAUACAUGCAAGUCGAGCGAACAGAUGAGGAGCUUGCUCCUCUGACGUUAGCGGCGGACGGGUGAGCAACACGUGGAUAACCUACCUAUAAGACUGGGAUAACUUCGGGAAACCGGAGCUAAUACCGGAUAAUAUAUUGAACCGCAUGGUUCAAUAGUGAAAGACGGUUUUGCUGUCACUUAUAGAUGGAUCCGCGCCGCAUUAGCUAGUUGAUAAGGUAACGGCUUACCAAGGCAACGAUGCGUAGCCGACCUGAGAGGGUGAUCGGCCACACUGGAACUGAGACACGGUCCAGACUCCUACGGGAGGCAGCAGUAGGGAAUCUUCCGCAAAGGGCGAAAGCCUGACGGAGCAACGCCGCGUGAGUGAUGAAGGUCUUCGGAUCGUAAAACUCUGUUAUUAGGGAAGAACAAAUGUGUAAGUAACUAUGCACGUCUUGACGGUACCUAAUCAGAAAGCCACGGCUAACUACGUG